UGUGCGCACAGAGAAAGGGAGAGAGGCAACGACUUCAGCUAAAAGUUUAAUAUCUAGAAAGCAUUGCUGGCAAGAGACAUAACUUAACCCUGCAUUAUGAAGUCCUGCUUUUCUUCAUCCCACCCCCACCCCCUUGAGCACCACACGUUCUAUUGUAAAUAAAUUGAGUUAUCCAUAUGGAAUAGAAGUUGAAUAAUUUAGAAAAGCUCUUUCAAUGCCAAUAGCAUUUUGAUUGUUUGGCAUUUAUAUUGAUUUUCGCAGCCCAAAGAAGGACAAGAACGUGUGAGCUGCACACCAAGUAGUUUCCUCAUUUGGGGUGCUUCAGUCCAAAGGACACAAGGCAGCAAUUAUGCAAAACCAUUAUACUAAGAACAGACUUCUACGCUUAUAAGAGGAAUUGGACAGAGUGUAAAAGCAGCCAGCAACAAUUACAUUGAAAAAGUAUGCAGAUUGGAGACCCACUAAGAAAAUCCAGCAAAUGCUACAUUCAGCAAAGGACAAGAGGGAUCCUCUCACCUCUGCAGGAGCCUACCGUAUACCAUGCUGCUGUGGACAAGUCUGCAUAGGGACC